ACAAAAAUCCCACGACCCCGUCUCUCUUGGCGAUCCCCAUCUCUCUCUCUCCCCCACGACCUAUGGCGGCCGAUCCUCCCUUCGGCCUGAAUACCAAAAUCGACGGAACCUCUGCCGUCUCAGCCUCCCCAUUCCCCACCUCCUCCGCCUGGUCCCCAGACGCGGCGAAGCGGGCAUGGAGGUCGACGACGCGGCGCCGCGCGGUGGGGGUGGGGGCGGGGAGCCGCCCCGCAUCCGGCGACUGCAGGAGUCGGUGGUGAACUGCAUCGCCGCGGGGGAGGUUAUCCAGCGGCCCUCGUCGGUGGUGAAGGAGCUCGUCGAGAAAAACAUCAACGCCGACUCCUCCACCAUCUCCAUCACCGUCAACGACGGCGGCCUCAAGCUCAUCCAGGUCUCCGACGACGGCCACGACAUCCGGGCUUGGAAGUUUGAUAGGUUUCCCCAACCCAGGUUGAGAACCCCUUGUCUAUUUCCUUCUUAUAACUUUGUGUGCAAUUCUGCUUCUCUGUCACAAUUUGGUGGAUCCAUUCUUAUCUAAAAUGCUUAUAUAUAAACAGAUGGAUACAAGGUUCAUAGUACUCUAGAAGUUUGGAAUACCAAAAAAGCAUGUGUUUGAGUAGUACAACGUUUACAUGUCAUUUUCUUGUUAUCUGUUUCUGAUUACCUUAUUCUAUCAUAAUAUAUGAGUUGAUAUGAAUCAAAUAUUAAAAGUAUUAUUAUUGUCUAACUAUUUAAGUAUCUCCCUUCAGAACAGACCUUGAACACAUGACAAGGAAACGAGGAUAUUUCGGAGUCCCAGUUUAACUGUCCUCGAGGAUGUAGGAGAGCCACCACCAUUGCUUCCUUCCACAAGCAAAGGGCUUAGGCGGCAAUGGCAAGGGUGGCAUAUUGUGCAGAGGAAAAGGAUAAGAAGAAACUUGUGAUUCUUAUGCAAUCUUUGUUGAACUCUCUUUAUAUGCGAUUGUGCAUUUGUUGGGUCCUUUUUUUGUGCACUUGUCCUUGCAAAAGUAUUCUGUUAUGCACAUGUAAAAUUAUUUUAAUGUGCACCUUAAUGCGUAGAGUUGGUGGAUGAUGUAUUGUAUUUGAUGUGAUAUGCUACUGAAAUGAAAUAUACAUUUUAUUUGCAA